rnacentral:rRNA from 1 species
UCCAGACUCCUACCGGGAGGCAGCAGUGGGGAAUAUGCACAAUGGAGGAAACUCUGAUGCAGCAACGCCGCGUGGAGGAUGACACAUUUCGGUGCGUAAACUCCUUUUAUAUGGGAAGAUAAUGACGGUACCAUAUGAAUAAGCACGGCUAACUCCGUGCCAGCAGCCGCGGUAAUACGGAGGGUGCAAGCGUUACUCGGAAUCACUGGGCGUAAAGCGCGCGCAGGCGGCUAUUUAAGUUGGAUGUGAAAGCUACGGCUCAACCGUAGAACUGCAUCCAAAACUAUUUAGCUAGAGUGUGGGAGAGGAAGAUGGAAUUAGUUGUGUAGGGGUAAAAUCCGUAGAGAUAACUAGGAAUACCAAAAGCGAAGGCAAUCUUCUGGAACACUACUGACGCUGAGGCGCGAAGGCGUGGGGAGCAAACAGGAUUAGAUACCCUGGUAGUCCACGCAGUAAACGAUGAAUGUUAGUCGUCGGGUAGCUAGUCUAUUCGGUGAUGCAGCUAACGCAUUAAACAUUCCGCCUGGGGAGUACGGUCGCAAGAUUAAAACUCAAAGGAAUAGACGGGGACCCGCACAAGUGGUGGAGCAUGUGGUUUAAUUCGAAGAUACGCGAAGAACCUUACCUAGCCUUGACAUAUAUUAGAACACUUUAGAGAUAGAGUGGUGCCUUCGGGAGCUUUUAUACAGGUGCUGCACGGCUGUCGUCAGCUCGUGUCGUGAGAUGUUGGGUUAAGUCCCGCAACGAGCGCAACCCUCGUCACUAGUUACUAACGGUUCGGCCGAGGACUCUAGUGAGACUGCCUUCGUAAGGAGGAGGAAGGUGAGGACGACGUCAAGUCAUCAUGGCCCUUACGGCUAGGGCAACACACGUGCUACAAUGGCCAGGACAAUGAGAAGCGAUACCGCGAGGUGGAGCAAAUCUAUAAACCUGGUCUCAGUUCGGAUUGUAGUCUGCAACUCGACUACAUGAAGCUGGAAUCACUAGUAAUCGUAGAUCAGCUAUGCUACGGUGAAUACGUUCCCGGGUCUUGUACUCACCGCCCGUCACACCAUGGGAGUUGAUUUCACCCGAAGCGGGGAAGCUAAACUGGCUACC